rnacentral:rRNA from 1 species
GAUGAACGCUGGCGGCGUGCCUAAUACAUGCAAGUCGAGCGAACAGACGAGGAGCUUGCUCCCCUGACGUUAGCGGCGGACGGGUGAGUAACACGUGGAUAACCUACCUAUAAGACUGGGAUAACUUCGGGAAACCGGAGCUAAUACCGGAUAAUAUAUUGAACCGCAUGGUUCAAUAGUGAAAUACGGUUUUGCUGUCACUUAUAGAUGGAUCCGCGCCGCAUUAGCUAGUUGGUAAGGUAACGGCUUACCAAGGCAACGAUGCGUAGCCGACCUGAGAGGGUGAUCGGCCACACUGGAACUGAGACACGGUCCAGACUCCUACGGGAGGCAGCAGUGGGGAAUCUUCCGCAAUGGGCGAAAGCCUGACGGAGCAACGCCGCGUGAGUGAUGAAGGUCUUCGGAUCGUAAAACUCUGUUAUUAGGGAAGAACAAAUGUGUAAGUAAAUAUGCACGUCUUGACGGUACCUAAUCAGAAAGCCACGGCUAACUACGUG